rnacentral:pre_miRNA from 1 species
AUGUUACUUCCUCCGUCCGAAAAUACUUGUCAUCAAAAUGGACAAAAAGAGAUAUAUCUAGAACUAAAAUACAUCUAAAUACAUCUUCUUUUAUUCAUUUUGAUGACAAGUAUUUACGGACGGAGGGAGUAUUGA